ensembl:lncRNA
AAUGUGCUCAGAUUACAGACGUGAGCCACCGUGCCCGGCUGGUGUCAGUGCAUUUUGAGUAAGUGCUCAACAGUGGAGUACCUGCCGCCAAAAUUCUCAAAGAUAAGAAUGUGUUCUAAAAGGACUGGUUCUGUGAUAAGCAGAAGGGCCUGUCCAUCAGCAGUACUGCUUGCUGGAAAAGCAGCCUCAGAGAAAGUGGAAUCGAUAACAGGCUCCCUAUACUUCAUGGUCCUCAAUAGGAGUCUUGGAAUCAAAUAAACUCCAAGCCCAGAGUGGAGGGACUUGGAAGAGUCACUUUGCAAAGAAGUCUGGAAGAUAUAAAUAUAAGAUCUUAGAUUUUUCAGGACUGAAAGGAAACUUACAGAGGGUUCAGUCUCGUUUCAGGUAUUUGACUCCUUCUGAAAUGUGUAGAAUUUUUUUAAAACAAUUUUUAACGUUGUGAAUUCUUGACUCCUCCUUAAGCCUACUCUGUACAGCCUUUGAUAUUGAAAAUUAUUAAUCUUAACUCUUAAACCAAUAAUGUUUAAACCUGUAAUGAAAUAAUUAUUGUACAUAUCACAUAAAACUAAUGUUAUAUGUCACUGCCUAAAUCAAGUUCGUGAUUUUUUUUUCUUUAACUUUCUUUACUACUUCUCUGGUAUAUUUUUCUAUUUUCUGUGUUCCAUAGCAGUGAGAAAACAGAUACCAUCUUUAUUUUCUUAUUCUCUUGUUCAAAU